UUUCUUGUCAUGUCCGAACCCAUAACCUACCGCUUCAGUAAUCUUCUCUGUCACGCAACAAAUUUUUAUCUUUACCAAAAUUUAUUGACUUUGCCUCCACGUUUCUCUCCGACUCCCUCGCUCGCGUUCUUUCUGCUUAUUUGUACCUCUCAUCUCCUUUCUCUCCUUACCAUCGGCUUGGCAUUUACCUGAGUUACUCGGCUGGGUGAGCCCUCUAGGUUUUAGGGUUUACGAUCGGCUUUGGAUACUCAGCUGGGAGAGCUCUCUAGGUUUUCAAAAGUAAUUUCAGUUACUAAUGAUAUUUCGAUUUUUUGGCCGGCAGAGCAUAAUGGAUCGCGGAUCUGCUGCAGAUUCCGGGCUUAUCAGAUCUGCUAGUGUUGUGGAGAGCGCAAGGAUUAGGAGGGCUUUGAGCAGAUGGAGGCCAAUAGAAGGCCAAAAGAGAAUAUUGGACUGAGAAAGCCAUCUUUGGACAGAGCUGCCGCGGCAUGGUCCAGUGGAAGGCAAGAAAGUAUUCUACUGGUUUCAAAAUGCCGCUGGGAGAGGGAAACGGAAGAAAGAAGAACCAGAGAGAUCCUCAAAAUGGCCUUCAGUAUUGAAGGCGCGAAACUGGACUUCGUUAUUCCGUUUGAAGAGGUCAUCUUCUGUACAGGAUGAAGAAGUGGAUCGCGGAUUUGGAGCAGAUUCCAGGCUUAUCAGAUCUGUUAGGAUCUGUUAGUGUUGUGGAGAGCGCAAGCUGUAGAUGGAAGCCAACUGAAGCUCAAAAGAGGAGAUCGGAGCCCAUUUUCGCGAGAAUUAUUUCCUUUGCAGGAAUUGCAUUCCUGCAAGACUGGUUUCUCUUUUGUGUAGUGUAGGGUUUCAUAAACAGUGUCUGACUGAGGACAUUCUAAAUAUGAAAAUGUAGUAGCGCAUGGUCUAUAUUGCUGUGAUGCUCAUUGUAACACUUGCAUAGUUUUUAUAUA